CGGCGGGAGGGAGGACCAGCCGACGCCAGUGGACGCUCGCAGGUUUUCAACAAUACGUUUUAAGCGCAGCGAGGAGAUCCAUAAUAAUCUACACUUGGAAAAUACGAGAAAGCCCGGUUUCAAAUCUGCACAUGGAAAUAACACCACACGCGACCAGGAGGCAUGGCAGGAUGUGCAAAAUAUUCCCGUAGAAAAGCAAUAGGUACGCUGAGAGAGAAUUCUGUCAACAUCAAAGGCCAAAGACUUUAACACUCUCCCGUUACACAUAGAAGGCAUCGCUGGCCGGCCUCUCACGGUGUUUAAAAGAACUUGACAAACACCUUCAAAGGAUACCUGAUCAACUUAGGAAUCAAGUUGAUAACUGUGACUCAUGUAUAUUUGUUUAAUAGCUAUCCCAGAAAACAAAAUUGAAAUAAAAGUAAACAAAAAUAAAAAUAUGAAAUUAAGA